GAAACGGAAAUAUUUCUCUUAAGGUCCUCCAAGACGGAAGAAGAAACCUACAGGAGCUCGUACAUCCCUGGAGGAAUCCAAAUAUCUGGAAAAACUCCUGAGUGAUGUGGACAGCCAGCGUGAUGCAGCCAGCACCUCAACACAUUCUGACAUCAUCUGGAAAAGCAUGAGAAGAGUUUUCUGCUGGGGAACACCUUGUUUGAUUAAGUUGAUGGCCAUUGUGGCUGGUGCGGCACUGUGCCUGAUGAUGUGCUGUGCAGGAAUCUGGUAUUGCUAGAAGAGAAAAUCGUGCGCCUGUGUAUCUCCAGAAGACCAGCCUAAAAACAGAGGCAAUGACAACCUGAUAGUUUACCCCAGCUCUUCACUUCCGCCCCUCUUUGACCUGCAGUGGCUGCAUGAGCAUCAUGAGGCAUCCCAAAACCCACCCCUCCUCAAUGAGACCCUCUGCCCCUGAGCCCCCUGGUCCUGUUCCCUGGCCAGGACUGAAGGCGGGCAGCCGUUGUCUGCCAGGGCAGGGCUUGGCCCACAUUUUAUAUUUAAAUAAAGAAAUAGAGUUUUCGCA